GUCAUGCGGGUGCACCACCUGAGCACCUGGGAGGUUAGUUUGCAUCAAGGGGGUAUCUGAAAGCCCCGCUACGCAGGCGCACAGGUCUGCCCCUGCCCUUCCCCCUCUCCCUUAGGGCUUCUGUCCUACGGGAUUAGGAAUAGCUGCUGCAGGGACACGAUACCAAACCACCAAAAGAACACCAAGCCUGAGCCCAAUGCCCCCUUUACCUCCUGCCGAUGCGGGGCAGGUGCAGAGGCCACAGCAGCCCAGAGCGCGCUCUCCACGAGGUCGCAUGCCCAGGCCGGUGCCUCCAUCGGAGAAGGCGGUCACGGAGCAUCCUGGAGCGCCUCGAUGUUCUAAGCCUUCUCGGGAGCACACGUGUAAGGGCCGACUCCAUUCUCCUGGCGACUGAGGUACAGCACCGCCAUCCCCCUGUCUCACACUAAGGAACCUGCACUUAGGGAACUGAUGGGACAGGGAUGUAGAAGACAAAGCAGCAGCUACUUGCUUGGGUACCAGAAGCAGGAUGGGGCCUGAUGUCGCUGCCUCACUCUGGCUACAGGUGCAGAUAUCUUCCUAGAGUCUUCAGUCUUUCUCUUGAGCCACCUUGGGUGACGGUCAAUGUGGAUUAUGAACUUGGCAGGGUCUAGAGAUAGCGGGGUGACAAGCCUCUGGACAUCCUUUGGCAGCAUUUCUAGUAGGAAGACCCCCCCUUAGCUGUGAGGAGCACUGUUCCAUGAGCUCGGGUCCUGGACUGAGGACAGAGGAGAAGAGCUCUGCAGCUGUACCCAUCGCCCCCUGCAUUCUGACAGAAGCAACGUGACCUCUGACCUCUGGCUGCUGACACGGGAACUUCCCCACCUGAGAGGGAUGACACCCUCAGCUGAGAGCCAAAAUAAACCCUUUUCUUCAUUAAGUUGCCUUUCCUCAGGUGUUUUGUUACAACUGCAAUAAAAGGUAACCAAUGCAACUGCAAUUCCAGGCUAGCAGCAGCUCACAGACAGGCCCAGCACCCAGGGUGGGUGAGACCACGCCAGGAGCAGCAGCCGUCAUCUUCAGAGAAACACCCUGUCCCCUCAAAGGUGAAGAGUUCUGAAGACCACCUUGUGAACUCAAGUCCGCACUAGACCACAAGACCGGGACUCCUUAAUUGUGCAUACCUCGUGUCCCUCUCUAACUCUUACUGUUUAUACCUAAAGCUCAUGCCUGUGCGCCAAGGACAGAUAAGGGUCACUGGACCCAUUACCUCCGCCACUGUUAUUCGUCUCUUUAUGGGCGGUUUGAGGUGGGGGGCUGAAUCUAGCUUGUUGGGAUACAAGAGCCUGGCUUUUUUUUCUUUGAA